rnacentral:sRNA from 1 species
AUGUGCCCUCGUACACGCCGGUUGCUCAGCGCAGUCGACACCACCUGACAACCGCCCGCUAAGGUUUGGCAGCC